rnacentral:rRNA from 1 species
UACGGAGGAUCCAAGCGUUAUCCGGAUUUAUUGGGUUUAAAGGGUGCGUAGGCGGAUUGAUAAGUUAGAGGUGAAAUGUCCGAGCUCAACUCGGGAACUGCCUCUAAUACUGUUGAUCUAGAGAGUAGAUGCGGUAGGCGGAAUGUAUGGUGUAGCGGUGAAAUGCGUAGAUAUACGGAGGAACACCAGUGGCGAAGGCGGCCUGCUGGACAUUAACUGACGCUGAGGCGCGAAAGCGUGGGGAGCAAACAGG